GGCCGUCUGGCGAAAUGGCAUCGCGUCUGACUACGAAUCAGGAGAUUGUAGGUUCGACCCCUACGUCGGUCA
rnacentral:tRNA from 2 species